rnacentral:rRNA from 1 species
CGCAUCUGUGCAUGCAGCAUAUCAAUAAGCGGAGGAAAAGAAACUAACAAGGAUUCCCUUAGUAACGGCGAGUGAAGCGGGAAGAGCUCAAAUUUGAAAUCUUCAAGGUUUUACCUUGACGAAUUGUAGUUUAAAGAAGUGUUUUCUGUUGAAGUUUUGGUAAAAGUUCUUUGGAAUAGGACAUCAUAGAGGGUGAGAAUCCCGUAUUUGACCAUUAUUUUCAGCUGUGUGAUACACUUUCAAAGAGUCGGAUUGUUUGGGAAUGCAGUCCAAAAUGGGUGGUAAAUUUCAUCUAAAGCUAAAUAUUGGCGAGAGACCGAUAGCGAACAAGUACCGUGAGGGAAAGAUGAGAAGAACUUUGAAAAGAGAGUUAAACAGUACGUGAAAUUGUCAAAAGGGAAGCGUUUGACACCAGUGUUGUUUUCUCGAAAAUCAAUUAAAAAGAGUUAGAUUUUGUUGUGUAUUGACCUUAACAGCUUGCAUUUCAAUUUUCUUGCUUUUUUUAAUGCACUUUUCGUUUAACAAGUCAACAUCAGUUUCUUUUGUUGUAAAAAGGUCAUUGGAAGGUGGCUUUCCUUUUCGGAGAAAGUGUUUAUAGCCUUUGACUCCUGCAAUCGGAGAGACUGAGGUCUGCAGCGUAGAUCCUUCGGGGUUAGAUACAUUUGUGCUAAGUUAUAGCUUUUUAUAGACAACUUGUUGACUAUGAUUAGUCUUGUAGCUUACUCGCUUAUGCUAUUUUACCUACGCUUAGGAUGUUGACACACGCGCGUGCUCG